UCUUACAAGCAGCUGGUUAGGUGGUAUUGCACAGAAACCUGACUGAAUAACACUUAAAACAGCUUAUCAAACAAUUUGUUUUAAUACUUUGUAAUUUCCUUAGGUUAUUGGUGAACUGAACGGGAAAAAAUAUAGAGGAUGUCAUUGCUCAGGGUAACGGCAAACUUGCCAGCAUGCCAGUUGGUGGAGCUGUAGCAGUCUCAGCUGGACCAGGUUCUGCUGCACCUGCUGUUGCUGAGGAGAAGAAAGAAGAGAAGAAGGAGGAGUCUGAGGAAUCUGAUGAUGACAUGGGAUUUGGCCUAUUUGACUAAACUUUUGCUACAGAAGCUAAUAAAACACUUUGUUUAAAAUGGAUGUUGAGGUGU
rnacentral:lncRNA from 1 species